rnacentral:rRNA from 1 species
AGGGACACACAAAAGGGGGAGCCUGUGGCCUAAUUUGACUCAAGACGGGAGACCUUAGUCGGCCACGACACCUCUAAGAUUGAUUGAUUGUGAGCUCUUUCUUGAUUAGGCGGGGGGUGGUGCAUGGUGGUUCGUAGUUCGUGGAGCGAUUUGUCUGAUUAAUUUCUAUAACGAACGAGACUCCUGCUUACUAAAUAGUCUAAAGUUCUCACGGACUUUUCAAGGCUUCUUACCCUGAUAAGUGGCACUUUUUAAUCCACGCGAAAUGGAGCAAUGACAGGACUGUUAUGCCAUUAGAUGUCCGAGGCUGCGCGCGCGCUACACUGGAGAGUUCAAAAUGUUUCUUCCUACUUCGACAGGAGAGGGUAACCGUGAAAUUCUCUCCGUGACUGGGAUCGGAGCUUGCAAUUAUUCUCCGUCAACGAGGAAUUCCUAGUAAGCACUAUUUCAUCAGAAUGUGCUGAUUAUGUCACUGUCCUUUGUACACUCCGCCCGAAGCUACGACCGAUCUAAUGUUUU